CGCGGGGUGGAGCAGCUUGGUAGCUCGUCGGGCUCAAAAACCGAUCCUCCUUGGGUCAAAUCCGGCGCCCGCAACCA
rnacentral:tRNA from 1 species